GGGGUUGUACUGGUUUCGACGGGGGUUUUGAAGCUUAAGAAGCCAUUCGCAGUCCGGAGCUGCGUUAAAAUCCGGAAACUAAAUAUAAACGCUGAAGACAAUAAUUUAGCAAUCGCUGCCUAGUUGCAGCUGUCGGACUUAAGUUCCCGUGGCUUAAGACCCCGGCAUCAACGUUCACGGGGCACUUCGUUUCCUAAGCUUUGCGGAAAUGGAAGAACUUAUGAAGCUACCGAGUCCCCGAGCCGGUCAUCAGGCGCCUGGACGAGGGAAAUCUAAAGAGAUGACUGUAAUGGGAGAAGCUUAAGUGAAUGGGCUUUCGGACAGGGGUUCGAUUCCCCUCAGCUCCACUA
rnacentral:tmRNA from 2 species